GUUCUACUGGUCUUACUUUUCCCCCUGGUUCUUGCUCCUCUUCUGUCGCUGGUUACAGGGAUUUCUUCACUUCUCUUUAAGCUGGCACUCCAAGACGCGGCUAAAGACGGAGUUGGUAAAAUUCCCUGUGGCCUUCUGGUCUUAGUCUUUCCCCUGGUUCGAGCCCUACACCAUUUUUCGUGUUCUUAAAUCUGUUGUAUGUGUCUUAUGCACGUCUUAUAUAUGUGAUAUAUAUGUUUGUAAUGCGUGCAUGUUUGUGACGUAUGUGUUGUCCUGUCCCCGCUCGGGGUCUGCACCUUGCCGUGGUGAGUGGGCUCUAACCCUUUAAUGCAUAAGAUGGGUCUGAAAAUGACCUGGAUGACCAUAUAUCUGCAAUAGCUUAUUGUCAUUGUCUAAUAUUAUUCACAUGUAGUGCUUUGCCUUAGUGGAGGUAUGACAACAUAAGUGGAGAGAAACAAACAGCAAAAUGGAGAUGGUAUGAAACAUUGGGGGAAAUGGAGUUAAUGGAGAAAGAAUCUGCUCUACAGCUGAACAGCUAAUCAAAGUCAGUCAAAGAAAAACAAGUAAGAAGACAACAACAUCAUGGACCGUCGUCAGACCAGGCCAGCAGUUUGGAUCAUCGGGGACAGCUACAUCCGCCGGGCAUCUGAGAGGGCAAGGGUGAGUAUGGGUAAGAAUUUACACCUGCCGGCAGACAUAACCUGGUCUGGAGUUGGAGGCCUGCGAUGGGGGUCCUUCAAGUCACGGCUGGACUCCCUGUUGCGCUCUAGACCUGCCCCAGACAUGAUAGUCUUGCAUGUCGGAGGAAAUGACCUAGGACAAAUUCAAGGGACUAAAUUGGUCAACCAAAUGAAGCAGUACUUAGGCCAGAUGCAUGAGAGGUACCCCAACCUUAAGUUAGUGUUCUCAUGCAUCACAGAAAGGUGCGUGUGGAGGUGUGGGCGCCCCUCCAGAAUUAAUCGUACACGUGCCUUUCUAAACAAUGUCAUGUCCGCAUUUGUGGGGUCAUUAGGGGGAGUAGCAAUUCGGCACCCCGAAAUUAAACACAAUUGGCCGGGGAUGUUCUUAGCUGAUGGGGUCCACUUGACGGACCUCGGACAUGACAUUUUCCUGAGAAACCUCCAGGGGGGCAUUAGAAGGGCGCUGUGUGUGACUCAGUAAAUUAAAGCGUGCCUCUUAUUACUAUAUAUAUAUAUAAUGCCGUUUGGUCUUGCCGCCUAUUUGUUGUCACGUAGCAAUUACAAACUGUGGUUUUAAAUUGGAAGUAGUGAUUCUUGGUUUUUUUUCUUGGCUGUGGUGGGAGUGAGUGAACUCCCACCACAGCCUUCCGCAGGUUUGUCUACACUACUUGCCUGUCAUCAUUCAAAGUAAGUCUUCUCCAUUACCAAGUAUUUGUUGGCGAUGCAGUUUUUUAUUAUUACUAUUAUUAUUAUUAUUAUUAUUAUUAUCAUGACAAGGACCUACACCACUAAUACUUGUCUUUCUCUGGUGGUGGUGGGAGUGCUGGAAAGGGGGAUUCUCCUUCCUAAUCUCCCACCACCACUUUUGUCAGGGGCCACUGCGGUCACCCACAAACAUCUGAGGAGGAGCCGCCACCAUUGUCACCACCUGGACCAAGGACCCUGUGCUGCGGUCACCCACACACAUCUGAGGAGGAGGCGCCACCAUUGUCACCACCUGGACCAAGGACCUGUGCUGCGGUCACCCACACACAUCUGAGGAGGAGGCGCCACCAAGCUCAAGAUGUGUAGUCAUCCACACCUGAGAAGGGGCCCAGCACCUCCUAGGAUCUGCUCUCCACAACUAUCUUCACACCACUUCAUUGUUUUAACAAGCUUAAUAAAUGAUAAAAUAUGACUGCCCAUA